rnacentral:lncRNA from 1 species
UGUACGACAUUCGCACUACAGUAAGACUCCAGCAAUUGAGAUGGAGGCAGGUGGGCCGCAUUUAAGCCACCCUCGUGAAGUGCUUCGGCAAGAAACUUUCAUAUCAUUAAUAAAUAAUAUGAUUCAUUAUAUUAGUGUUCGGAGUUCGAGACUCUGCUGUCACCAUUCCCUAAGGCACUGAUUGGGUGGGUAACCCAUGGGUUACCCAUCGGUUACCCACCUUCAACCCCCCGUAGCCCAUAUAAAUAAAAUGUACAUGUUGAACCUACAGUAUCCCGGUAGCUCGGGAAGCAUCGUUCGCCAAUAUGAAUUAAAGGCCUCUAACGCUACAGGAAAAUUUUAGUAGAAGAUUUAGAACUAUGUAUGUAUUCAGUUCUAGCGUUUGUUCCCGCUUUGAGGGCAUGAAACUCCCGUGCCGUAUUAUUGUCCCUAAUAAGAUUAUUCAUUCGCAUUCAUACAGUUCGAAGUGGAUUGGGGAACGCAAUUUAGCUUGAAAUCCAUUGUGUCUCUGGCUAGUUCUGAAAAGAAAUCAAUCGUGGAUUGACAAGUUUCCCUUUCCCUUCUUCGCCGGUCAAUCGCAGACACCUCCGCGCCAGGCUCUGCCAGCUGCAGGCUUGUGGCAAACGGCCGCUGAGGGGCGACUGGACAGCCGGCGGGCCGGGACGGGGUUGGUUCGGUCGAGUCUUUUAGCCCAGUAGUGUGGCCUUGAGAGCUCAGAAGGGAUAGUGCUUGGUGUAGGGGGAAACUAGUCAGCUUAACCUGCAGGGAUUUCC